GACGAACGCUGGCGGCGUGCUUAACACAUGCAAGUCGAACGAAGAGCGACGGAAGCUUGCUUCUAUCAAUCUUAGUGGCGAACGGGUGAGUAACGCGUAAUCAACCUGCCCUUCAGAGGGGGACAACAGUUGGAAACGACUGCUAAUACCGCAUACGAUCUAGUCUCGGCAUCGAGGAUGGAUGAAAGGUGGCCUCUACAUGUAAGCUAUCACUGAAGGAGGGGAUUGCGUCUGAUUAGCUAGUUGGAGGGGUAACGGCCCACCAAGGAGAUGAUCAGUAGCCGGUCUGAGAGGAUGAACGGCCACAUUGGGACUGAGACACGGCCCAGACUCCUACGGGAGGCAGCAGUGAGGAAUCUUCCGCAAUGGACGAAAGUCUGACGGAGCAACGCCGCGUGAGUGAUGACGGCCUUCGGGUUGUAAAGCUCUGUUAAUCGGGACGAAAGGCCUUCUUGCGAAUAGUGAGAAGGAUUGACGGUACCGGAAUAGAAAGCCACGGCUAACUACGUG
rnacentral:rRNA from 1 species